AUUGAACGCUGGCGGCAGGCCUAACACAUGCAAGUCGAACGAGUGGCGGACGGGUGUGUAAUGUCUGUGAAACUGCCUGAAGGAGGGGGAUAACUACUGGAAACGGUAGCUAUUACCGCAUACCAUCAGAUGUGCCCAGAUGGGAUUAGCUUGUGGGUGGGGUAACGGCUCACCAAGGCGACGAUCCCUAGCUGGUCUGAGAGGAUGACCAGCAAAACGGGAACUGGGACACGGUCCGGACUCCUACGGGAGGCAGCAGUGGGGAAUAUGGGCCAAUGGGCGCAAGCCGGAUGCAGCCAUGCCGCGUGUAUGAGGAAGGCCUUCGGGUUGUAAAGUACUUUCAGCGGGGAGGCGUUACCCGCAGAAGAAGCACCGGCUAACUCCGUGCCAGCCGCCGCGGUAAUUC
rnacentral:rRNA from 1 species